ACCGGAUUGGCAGGCAGCGGCCGUCGAGGGAGGCUCUGGAAGAGACUUGAGCUUUCCACUGAGGGCCCGGAGGCGUGUGAACCCUGGAGGCUGGCUGCUCACCUCACCCCAGAGCUCUGUCCCAAGCCCCAGGGCUCCUGUGCUAGGCCAGUGUUUGCUUCUAAAUGAAACGGGGGCAGCUUUUGGCCCCACUCUGCCAGCCAGGCCCGGUGAGAUGAUCUGAACCGGUUUCACUGAGCUGCUCCUGACAGGACAGUGAGGCAGGCCAGAUUCUGCUCUCACUUGUGAGGUUUUCCUCUCUCCUAAGCUAAGGGGUUCCCUGGUGGCUCAGUGGUAAAGAAUCCACCUGCAGUGAAGGAGGUCCAGGUUCAAUCCUUGGGUCAGGAAGAUCCCCUGGAGAAGGGAAUUCCAACCCACUCCAGUAUUCUUGCCUGGAGAAUUGCAUGGACAGAGGAGCCUGGCGAGCUACAGUCCGUGGGGUCGCAGAGUCGGACAUGACUUAGCAACUAAACAACAGUGACAUCAUCCUAAACGAAGCUCACAGCCUCUCUCCCACCUCCAUUAAAUAGACUGUCAGGGCUCCCCAGCCUCAGGCUUUGUGAUGUCCAGCCUCUCUCCCACCUCCGUUAAAUAGACUGUCAGGGCUCCCCAGCCUCAGGCUUUGUGAUGUCCAGGUUCUCUCCCACCUCCAUUAAAUAGACUGUCGGAGCUCCCCAGCCUCAGACUUUGUGAUGUCCAGGUUCCCUCCCACCUCCAUUAAAUAGACUCUCAGGCCUCCCCAGCCUCAGGCUUUGUGAUGUCCAGGUUCCCUGGGACAGGGUGUGGGCUGUCUAGGCAACAUUGUGCUACAGCUUUUUCAUGUCCAGCUCACCACUGCUUCCAACACAAGGCAGGUGACGGGGCAGCUUGCCCCCUCUCCCAGCUUUGCAGGCAUCUUUCCUUUUCAAGAAAUUGUUGAGUCACCCACCUCUGUGUCUGGCAUCUCAAAUUUAACAGCCUUUGUAGGGUAGAGUUUUUUCCUUUCUUCUGCUCCCAACUGGUUGGGCCCAUGGUUACACUUCUUUGCAGCCUCCCUGAAGGGCAGAGCUGUCAGGCGGAGACGAGGAAAGGGAAGGAUGUCUGGGUGCCACUCGAGAGGUACUAGGCAGCUAUGUCUGAUAAGAGGUUUUCCCAGCAAAGCACCUGCUCACCCACAGCAUCUUGGGAGCUGCCUGUGGAGACAGCUGCCAACGGAGCUGGGACUGGAAUCUGCGUGUCUUGGACCCAAGCCUCCAGCCACUCCAUCCACCCUUCAGAGCCUUCCCUUCACAGAGUAUCAAUGUGAGCUCUUAUUUAUAGCUGCCAACUUCUAUCAUUAACUACUAUGCCCAAAGAAUGUCUGGUUUUCUGGUAAUCACAGCUGAAGAACAACCAACUCGUUACUGACCAAGAUGAGGGAAUAAUUCAGUCAUUCGGUUUUCUAAUUGUUCAUUCACUCAUUAAAAUGUACUCUUUGCUAGAACCUGUGCUGCGUCUGAGACAGAGUGGAAUAAAACACAGUCUUGACCUCCAGGAACUUGGGU
ensembl:lncRNA